rnacentral:rRNA from 1 species
UACGAAGGUGGCAAGCGUUACUCGGAAUUACUAGGCGUAAAGGGCAGGUAGGUGGUUCGGUAAGUCUGUUGUGAAAGCUCCUGGCUUAACUGGGAGAGGUCAACAGAAACUACCGGGCUUGAGUAUAGGAGAGGGUACUGGAAUUCCCGGUGUAGCGGUGAAAUGCGCAGAGAUCGGGAGGAACACCAAUGGCGAAGGCGGGUCUCUGGUACGGUACUGACGCUGAGACGCGAAAGCAUGGGGAGCGAACAGG